rnacentral:lncRNA from 1 species
AUGUCAUUACAAACCCAAACCUCCCUGUCCAAUUUUCUCAUUGUACCCUUGACUUAAUAUUAUGAUUAAUAUUUCCUAAAAGUUGAAAUCCUCCUAGUAAUAGAUCAAUAGACUGAAAGUAAGCAGUAGAAAAUUUGCUUUUUGUGCUUUCUGAAAACUUUGCUUCUUAAUCAAAUUUUCUAAUGUUUUAAAUUUAAUAGUUCAACCAGAGUUUGAGGCACAAAGGGAGAGAUAAUAAUUCAGGGCACCUCAAGAUUUUCCCUUCAACCUCCGACCGAAUGGAGCCUUCGGUACCUCUGUGCCUAUUGGCCAUGCUGCAGGAAAGCUCAGUUAUGAAAUCUUCCACUCUGAGAUCUUGGCAGAUCAAAAACUAUACGGAGCAUUUGGUGAGGUACCAUUUAUGUGAGGCAGUCCCAAAUGUUUGGCACAUUUAUGGGAAGCAUCCUGAUGAAGGAUUUACAGUGGUUUCUUCUAACUGGGAUCACUCCUAGGUCUAGUACUAAUAAAGAGAAGAAGAUCGGAGCAGCUUUGACAUGAAUGGAUCCAUCUGGCCUGGUCUCCAUACAAGUUUCCUAUGAGUUUGGUGAGUGUGGAUCCCCAUGGAUCAUAAUCCACCUGGGAAAUCAGAUGGAGUCUGACUUCUCAUCUUGCAUCAAUGUGACUGGUAGGGAUGGGUCCAUGCUCUGGAGCUGGACUCUGUGGGUUUGAAUCCUGGCUCCUCUGUUUCUGCCCUGAGAGAACUUGGCUAAGUUCCCUUACUUCUCUGUGCCCCAGAGUGCUUAUCUCUAAAAUGAAUUAUAAUGUACUGUAAAUGGGAAAAUUAAUAUAGUGUGCCUAAUAGCAGUGAGCAUUCAGCAAGUAUUAGCUGUGUGUGUGGCUGUAACAGCCAAGGACCGGCUGGAGGAAUGCGGUGACUCUACAGCAGUGCACCUCUGAGUCCUAGUGAGACAAGCGACUGUGGUCCAGGUCUGGAAGGAGGCUGGGCAGCGGCUUUUCUCAUCUCUACAGUUGGGAACUAGCACUCAUCCUUCUCAGGAAGAGGGAGAGAGUGGACUGAAUAUUUCUCACAAAGCAAUGACUGCCUCAUUAAAAAAAAAAGUAAUCAUAUAAGAAAUAUGUGAAGAUAUUGUGAAAAAAUCAAAUAAAACAAGUAAAAAGUAUCUUUAUAUUCCCCUUCCCUUCCCACUGCUCUCUUCAGAGGUAACCACUAUUCACAGUCUGGGAUGUGCCCUUCCGGACUUUGUGGAUGUGUAUGGGUGUAUGGCAUACGUAAUUUUGGUUACUGGGUUGUUAACUGAAAUAAAAUCAUUCUACAUAUUUUUCUGUAACUACCUUUUGUUACCUUAACAGUACAUUUUUGGAAAAUAUUUCCAAGUCAUUACCAACAGAACUCAUUCAUCCUUGGUAAUGGCUACACGGUAGCCAUUCAAAUGUCACAGACCCUUCAAGCAAUUGUUUAAAUGAGAAGAUGCUACAUUUUCAAGCAGAGACUGAUUCACUGUAGCUUAAUAAAUUUUUA